GAGAGGAGUAGUUUAAAUAGCAAACCACUGGAAGAUGUCUCUCUUACAAGAAAUCCAUUGUCUAACAUAACUAAUGAAAAGGAGAGACAUUUUGUUCAACGCAGAAAACUAGAUUCACGAUCUAAUCAUACUAAUCUUGCUCAUGCAGAGACGAGUAGUUUAAAUAGCCAACCACCGGAAGAUGUCUCUCUUACAAGAAUUCCACUGUCUAACAUAACUAAUGAAAAGGAGAGCCCUUUCGGUCAAGGCAGAAAAUGGCUCUCAAGAGCUUCUAAAAGUAAUCUUGAAAGUACAACAAGGAAUUUGUUUGAUGAUAGCUUUGCUAAUCAAGAACCAAGCACCAAAUACUUUGCAGAUGAUGAUAUUGAGUGUUCAACAGUUCAGCACCCUGUUUUAUCGGAUGAUUCGGACAGUGAUUUCUCAUGUG